UACGUAGGGGGCUAGCGUUGUCCGGAAUCAUUGGGCGUAAAGCGCGUGUAGGCGGUCCGGUAAGUCCGCUGUGAAAGUCGGGGGCUCAACCCUCGGAUGCCGGUGGAUACUGUCGGGCUAGAGUGCGGAAGAGGCGAGUGGAAUUCCUGGUGUAGCGGUGAAAUGCGCAGAUAUCAGGAGGAACACCAAUUGCGAAGGCAGCUCGCUGGGACGUAACUGACGCUGAGACGCGAAAGCGUGGGGAGCAAACAGG
rnacentral:rRNA from 1 species